rnacentral:ncRNA from 1 species
UUCUUAUCAAGAGAGGUGGAGGGAUUGGCCCUUUGAAACCUCGGCAGCGGACUCUCUUAAAUUUAGAGAAAACUGUGCCAAAUCCAACAAGAUUAAUCUUGAGAGAUAAGAA